rnacentral:lncRNA from 1 species
CCUCGCGCUGGCCGUUAGUUCGCCCUCUCCCGCAGCCCUGCCCUUUCGCGCUGGCCGUUAGCUCGCCCCUGGGCGCACGCAGCUGCUUCGGGCCGGUCUCUGCCCAAGCGGGGAGGGCGGGGAAGGGAAGGGUGGUGGAGGUUUCCUGCACCUCUCCCGGCUAGUGCGCAGUUUUUUCAUUGCUUUCGCCCUGGGAGAACAAAGGAGACUUCGUAAGACUGCAGGGUGGCUUUGCUGCUGGUCGUGCGCUGUCCUCGGCUAAGCUCCGGGCCUUGAGUAUUUGUAUCUGUGAGACAGCCGGAGGUGCUGGCAGACCUACCUGCUGUAAUCGCACAAAGAAAAUCCUUUGAAGCAGUUUUGAAGGAGAGAAGUCCUGUAUAUCAGGCUGACUUUGGUGUCUCCGUGCCUCCUGCAAUAUGAGGGGAGUGUUGGCAUUGCUUCUAGAGUAACCAGCUCUACAGCCACUGAACACUUUUUGCCAAGAAGCGAAACAGUAAAUGCCUCAUUGCGUUACUCUGUUCUGUUUUGGAGAAAUUAUCUGCAUUGUCACAUUAUUCAUUAAUUAAAAAGGACUUAUUACGUGGUUCUGAGCAUAUUGUUCAUGACAGAAGACAACGUUUAGUAGUACCCUCUUUAUCAUGGACUUUGGAUAUAGAUACAUCACAGUGUUCAGGACACCACAACUGGAUUUCUUCACAGAGCAUUUACUACAGAAGCACCACUUCAUUGUGA